CAAUAAAUGUAACAAACACAUAAAUGCAGAAAACAGACCAAAUAUUAAUAUAAUAAUAUAAUAAAUAAAGUAAAAGGUAAACUGAAAGUCCAAAAACAUUUACCCUUUCUAGAAAAAUACUUUGAUAUUUCCGUCAGGGUGGUUGACAUUCAUUGCUCUAUCAUAUAUUAUCAUGUCAGACAAAAAGAUAAGGGACAUAUCUCUUAAAAUCAAUAUUACGUUUGUUACAACCAUUUUAAUGAAUAUAAUGCAAGCUUCUAAAUAACACAGCUCAUUGUUGCUCUUAUAUAAAAGUUAAAUACACAAAUACUUUUUUUUUAAGAUAAAGAAUAAUCUAACUAUCCAUUUUGUGUAAGACAAAUGUAUAUAAAAGAAAAUGACUUAAAUGCCACAGUUAUCUUAUUUUAUAAAUUCUAUUAACCUGAAUAUAUACCAGUAAUGGUCAUGCCCUUUUGAUAUAUCUCAAAUUAGGCUAUAGCUUGGAAUCUUGUUACAUGCACAAUAUGUCCUUCUUUGCUUCGUUUAUAAAGAAUGUAUAUAGGUCAUACAAAAAUACAGCAAAAACUACUUGUCUUUAAAAAAAAAAAAGAAAAAAAAGGCCCAUGCACUUUAUUUUUCAUUUUGUUGAUUAUUGUACUGUAUUUUCAGAACCCAAAAUUAACUAUUAUCUUCAAGAAGGAGAUCAUUAAUAAAAAUGAUAAAUUGUUAAUUCUAAUAUAUAUUUUUGUUGAAAUAUAAAAAUCGAAUUCAUAUUCUUUCUUCCAAAUAUUAGCCUUCUUGUCUCAUACAUCUUAAGUUACAAUACCAACCUCUUUUUUAUUGAAGAUAAAAAGAUAGAGAAGACCAUGUACAAGGUUUGAAGACAGAAAAGUCAAGUAAACAGGAAGAUGAUACCUUAUAUCAGGAAAAUUUUUACAUGUGUCUGAUUUUCAUGGAGGAUAUUCAAUCUCAAAAUUAACCCUUCACACACAUUUCACUUACAAGUGGAAUGCAUUGUACAAGGCAAAAAAUGAACCCCACAAUAAUUCAAUGCCCUGCCCUUUCUGAGGCACAAACCACAAACAAAACCUGAAGAAAAUAUUCCCCUGAUAAAGAGUAUAUGGAAUUAGAAUGUUAUUUGAAUUGGUAUUGUUAAGAACGAAUUAGGUAACUUAGUUUUAACCCAUGAGCCUUAAAACUAAACUAUGGGCCUUGGUGGAAAAGUGGUCUAAGUAGUUAAUCAACAGUGAUCAUUAGCCUGUCAACCCUAAGGUUGUGUAGGAGCCUUGGUGGUCAAGUGGUCUAAGUAGUUAAUCAACAGUGAUCAUUAGCCUGUCAACCCUAAGGUUGUGUAGGAGCCUUGGUGGGCAAGUGGUCUAAGUAGUUAAUCAACAGUGAUCAUUAGCCUGUCAACCCUAAGGUUGUGUAGGAGCCUUGGUGGGCAAGUGGUCUAAGUAGUUAAUCAACAGUGAUCAUUAGCCUGUCAACCCUAAGGUUGUGUAGGAGCCUUGGUGGGCAAGUGGUCUAAGUAGUUAAUCAACAGUGAUCAUUAGCCAGUCAACCCUAAGGUUGUGUAGGAGCCUCGGUGGGCAAGUGGUCUAAGUAGUUAAUCAACAGUGAUCAUUAGCCUGUCAACCCUAAGGUUGUGUAGGAGCCUUGGUGGUCAAGUGGUCUAAGUAGUUAAUCAACAGUGGUCAGUAGCCUGUCAACCCUGAGGUUGUGUAGGAGCCUCGGUGGGCAAGUGGUCUAAGUAGUUAAUCAACAGUGAUCAUUAGCCAGUCAACCCUAAGGUUGUGUAGGAGCCUCGGUGGGCAAGUGGUCUAAGUAGUUAAUCAACAGUGAUCAUUGUCAACCCUAUGGUUGUGAGUUUGUUGUGGCAGGUGCAUUCCACUCCUAUCUUAACUGACAAGGCCAGUUUUCCUGUCGAAGGUUCUAUCCUUGUACUCUGGCGUCCUCCACCUAUAAACUUUUUAUAGUGGCCACAUGAUAUAACCAAGAAUGCUGAAAGUGGCAUUAAACACAAACUAUUAAUCAAUUAAUAAACUGUACUACGACAAGAUCACUUGAGAGGUGAGAUUUAAAGCUCCAUUGGCCAUGAUCAUGCAUAUAUAAACAAAGAAUUUCGAAUGGUCUGAUAUUACUACAAGGGUCACCACAGCUUGACUCUGGUGUUAAUAAGGGUUUGGAAGUGAUAUGCAAGACUGAAUGUAAAACUGAACAAGUCAACUGUAUGAAGUCUUACACUUCAAGUAAACUUCCAUCUGAAUAAUCCUGUGGCAAGACCAGUUUUAACUGUUGUUAGGGGUCAUUUUGAACUUUCAUAAUAUUUUCUCGCUCCAGUGAUUUUGUGUCAUGAAUUGAUACACCCAAUCAUUUUUAUUCCAUUUCACUGAGAUUGAUUGAUUGUUUGGUGUUUAACCUCAAGCUUGGUUUAUUCAUGGAUGCCAGUUAUUAUUGGUAGAGAAAGCCAGA